UAAUGAGGCGAACCGGGGGAACUGAAACAUCUAAGUACCCCGAGGAAAAGAAAUCAACCGAGAUUCCCCCAGUAGCGGCGAGCGAACGGGGAGGAGCCCAGAGCCUGAAUCAGUGUGUGUGUUAGUGGAAGCGUCUGGAAAGGCGCGCGAUACAGGGUGACAGCCCCGUACACAAAAAUGCACAUGCUGUGAGCUCGAUGAGUAGGGCGGGACACGUGGUAUCCUGUCUGAAUAUGGGGGGACCAUCCUCCAAGGCUAAAUACUCCUGACUGACCGAUAGUGAACCAGUACCGUGAGGGAAAGGCGAAAAGAACCCCGGCGAGGGGAGUGAAAAAGAACCUGAAACCGUGUACGUACAAGCAGUGGGAGCACAGAGCAAUCUGUGUGACUGCGUACCUUUUGUAUAAUGGGUCAGCGACUUAUAUUCUGUAGCAAGGUUAACCGAAUAGGGGAGCCGAAGGGAAACCGAGUCUUAACCGGGCGUUAAGUUGCAGGGUAUAGACCCGAAACCCGGUGAUCUAGCCAUGGGCAGGUUGAAGGUUGGGUAACACUAACUGGAGGACCGAACCGACUAAUGUUGAAAAAUUAGCGGAUGACUUGUGGCUGGGGGUGAAAGGCCAAUCAAACCGGGAGAUAGCUGGUUCUCCCCGAAAGCUAUUUAGGUAGCGCCUCGUGAAUUCAUCUCCGGGGGUAGAGCACUGUUUCGGCAAGGGGGUCAUCCCGACUUACCAACCCGAUGCAAACUGCGAAUACCGGAGAAUGUUAUCACGGGAGACACACGGCGGGUGCUAACGUCCGUCGUGAAGAGGGAAACAACCCAGACCGCCAGCUAAGGUCCCAAAGUCAUGGUUAAGUGGGAAACGAUGUGGGAAGGCCCAGACAGCCAGGAUGUUGGCUUAGAAGCAGCCAUCAUUUAAAGAAAGCGUAAUAGCUCACUGGUCGAGUCGGCCUGCGCGGAAGAUGUAACGGGGCUAAACCAUGCACCGAAGCUGCGGCAGCGACACUGUGUGUUGUUGGGUAGGGGAGCGU
rnacentral:rRNA from 1 species